rnacentral:rRNA from 1 species
GAUGAACGCUGGCGGCGUGCCUAAUACAUGCAAGUAGAACGCUGAAGGAGGAGCUUGCUCUUCUGGAUGAGUUGCGAACGGGUGAGUAACGCGUAGGUAACCUGCCUGGUAGCGGGGGAUAACUAUUGGAAACGAUAGCUAAUACCGCAUGACAACAGUUAUUGCAUGAUAACUGUUUAAAAGGGGCAACUGCUCCACUACCAGAUGGACCUGCGUUGUAUUAGCUAGUUGGUGAGGUAACGGCUCACCAAGGCGACGAUACAUAGCCGACCUGAGAGGGUGAUCGGCCACACUGGGACUGAGACACGGCCCAGGCUCCUACGGGAGGCAGCAGUAGGGAAUCUUCGGCAAUGGACGGAAGUCUGACCGAGCAACGCCGCGUGAGUGAAGAAGGUUUUCGGAUCGUAAAGCUCUGUUGUAAGAGAAGAACGAGUGUGAGAGUGGAAAGUUCACACUGUGACGGUAUCUUACCAGAAAGGGACGGCUAACUACGUG